UACGUAGGGUGCGAGCGUUAAUCGGAAUUACUGGGCGUAAAGCGUGCGCAGGCGGCCUCGCAAGUCAGGCGUGAAAUCCCCGGGCUUAACCUGGGAAUGGCGUCUGAAACUACGGAGCUGGAGUGUGGCAGAGGGAGGUAGAAUUCCACGUGUAGCGGUGAAAUGCGUAGAUAUGUGGAGGAAUACCGAUGGCGAAGGCAGCCUCCUGGGCCAACACUGACGCUCAUGCACGAAAGCGUGGGGAGCAAAAGGG
rnacentral:rRNA from 1 species